rnacentral:rRNA from 1 species
GAUGAGCGCUGGCGGCGUGCCUAAUACAUGCAAGUCGAGCGAACGGACGAGAAGCUUGCUUUUCUGAUGUUAGCGGCGGACGGGUGAGUAACACGUGGAUAACCUACCUAUAAGACUGGGAUAACUUCGGGAAACCGGAGCUAAUACCGGAUAAUAUUUUGAACCGCACGGUUCAAAAGUGAAAGACGGUCUUGCUGUCACUUAUAGAUGGAUCCGCGCUGCAUUAGCUAGUUGGUAAGGUAACGGCUUACCAAGGCAACGAUGCAUAACCGACCUGAGAGGGUGAUCGGCCACACUGGAACUGAGACACGGUCCAGACUCCUACGGGAGGCAGCAGUAGGGAAUCUUCCGCAAUGGGCGAAAGCCUGACGGAGCAACGCCGCGUGAGUGAUGAAGGUCUUCGGAUCGUAAAACUCUGUUAUUAGGGAAGAACAUAUGUGUAAGUAACUGUGCACAUCUUGACGGUACCUAAUCAGAAAGCCACGGCUAACUACGUG